GUCUGUUGAACGCGCCCAUUGGAAUAGCUGAUCAUUUCCGGUCCGACCACCGACUGAUCGACCACGUUCUCACACGUUCUCCUCGCAUAUCUGCGCGCAUCAAGGGAAACGCAUAAGUAUUUUUGAGACUGCUGUCCUGCCUUUGCAUCUCACUGCAGCUGCACCGAAGUCGCUGUAUCGCUUUUUGUGGGAAAAACACGCUAUGUACCUAACACGCUAUGUCCUUGAAUUAAUUACAUAAACCUGUGUGUUCAAUUAACCCGAUAAAGCAUAGCACACAGGUGUGUGACGAACUACGUGAAUUAGCCUACAUUAUUAAAAAAUUGUUUUUAGAUUAUAUGUAAAAAUGAGUAUCGAUAAGGUGCAUUUACGGCAUGUUAUGCUUUACGAGUUUCGGAAGGGAA